rnacentral:rRNA from 1 species
AUUGAACGCUGGCGGCAGGCUUAACACAUGCAAGUCGAGCGGUAACAGAGAGAAGCUUGCUUCUCUGCUGACGAGCGGCGGACGGGUGAGUAAUGCCUAGGAAUCUGCCUAGUAGUGGGGGAUAACUUGCCGAAAGGUAAGCUAAUACCGCAUACGUCCUACGGGAGAAAGGAGGGGACCUUCGGGCCUUUCGCUAUUAGAUGAGCCUAGGUCGGAUUAGUUAGUUGGUGAGGUAAUGGCUCACCAAGACCGCGAUCCGUAACUGGUCUGAGAGGAUGAUCAGGCAUGCUGUAACUGAUACCCGGUCCAGACUCCUACGGGAGGCAGCAGUGGGGAAUAUUGGACAAUGGGGGGAACCCUGAUUCAGCCAUGCCGCGUGUGUGAAGAAGGUCUUAGGAUUGUAAAGCACUUUAAGUUGGGAGGAAGAGCAGUUAACUAAUAUUUGACUGUUUUGACGUUACCGACAGAAUAAGCACCGGCUAACUUCGUGCCAGCCGCCGCCGUAA